rnacentral:lncRNA from 1 species
CUGGCCUUCAGUGACCUUCAGAUCCUCAUGACCUCUCCUGGGAUCCAGCCACUCGACAGCAAGUGGAAGAUGACCUCUCCUCACCACACUAAUUUCCAGUAAGCCACUGGGGUCAGGACUAGUUCCCAGUAGUGGAUGAUGUGGAGAGCAGCCUGAGAGCCUGUCAGUUCUUUCUUCAGCACCAAGACCUGGGAGUGGAGAACACUGCUGAGGUAGUGGACAGAUGACCCACAAAGUCCCCAAGACUCAAGUCUGAUGAAGAGAACAAUACAUCCCGGCAUUAUAGGCCUAUGGAAUCAGAAAUCACAGGAGCCCACACGAAGUCCUCACUUACCUCACUUACACAGUUUUUCAAGACCCAGUGUGCUGGCACAAAUCCGUAAACUGGAUCAGACAGAAGGCAAUUUCUGGAAGAGAGAAAUAAGCAUCUGGACAAUUUUUAUAAACACCCCCUUGGCACCAGGAUGGUGUGCUUGCUGCUGACGUGUUUUGGCCAGUACAUGACCACUCUAAAGAGAAGCAUGCUGGGUAUGAAGGCCAGGCUUGUCCUGAGUCCCACUGAGUAGGGGAGGAGGGGAAAAAAACUUUCUUGCUUCCUACAAAUCCUGAAGCAAGGGAAUGAUCAGUUUGGUUGACAGAGAAAGACUAGAGGGGGUACAAUGUUGCAGCGAUGGUCCAAGUUUCUCCUGGUGAGAGGAAACAGUCUCAGGUCCUCCCAGUUGGAGGAAGGGAUGCAGUCCUCCCUAGCACAGCAUCCUGUCUGUAGCUGGAAGCCCUGGUCCCUCUUAGACGAGGCUUUAAGAGCAAACGUGGCACCUACUUUUAGGAAGCCUGGGGUCUGAUGGGGAAAACUGUUGCUGUCCUCAGGGACCUCAGAAGUAGAAAUGUGGUUGGAAAUAUCAUCCUGGAUAGGAGCUUCUGGGGGGAAACCAGGAAUUGCUUGCUUUUCCAAAACAGUUUCCAGGCAGCUUCUUUCUGUAGGGGGACCUUUCCUGUCUCCAGCGAUCUGAGGGGAAGCAAGACAUUGAAUCCAUUCCUCAGCUAAGGCCUUUCUGUUCUUAUAGGCCAAAAUAAAAGGGACUCAACCUCCUGGUGUCA